rnacentral:rRNA from 1 species
AUUGAACGCUGGCGGCAGGCCUAACACAUGCAAGUCGAGCGAGCGGCGGACGGGUGAGUAAUGUCUGGGGAUGUGCCUGAUAGAGGGGGGUAACUACUGGAAACGGUGGCUAAUAACGCAUACGAUCGGAUGAGCCCAUAUGGGAUUAGCUUGUGGGUGGGGUAAAGGCUCACCAAGGCGACGAUCUCUAGCUGGUCUGAGAGGAUGAUCAGCCAAACUGGAACUGAGACACGGCCCAGACUCCUACGGGAGGCAGCAGGGGGGAAUAUUGCACAAUGGGCGCAAGCCUGAUGCAGCCAUGCCGCGUGUAUGAAGAAGGCCUUCGGGUUGUAAAGUACUUUCAGCUGGGAGGCGUUACCCGCAGAAGAAGCACCGGCUAACUCCGUGCCAGCAGCCGCGGUAAUAC